rnacentral:rRNA from 1 species
AAUAAUUAAAAUAAAUAGUAUUUAUUUUCACGAAAUAGUGCGAGCUAAAAAUUUUAUUCUUUAAGGGAAAUAAACUUCUGUAACAUCAUUUAGAGUAUAAUUAUUUUUAGGAGCGAAAAACCUAUCAAGCAUUAGGAUAACUUGAUUAUUAGGAAAAAUAUUUAGUAUUAGACAAGCCGGCAAUGAUAAGGUUGCUGGUAAUCAUAAUUAAUAAUUAGUAUUAUAUUAUUUGUAUAAUAGCAAUUUAAUAUAAAUAUCUUAAUAUUUCAUUUAUUUUAUAUAUGAAUUUUACUAAUAUAUAAAUAUAACCUAUAAGUUUAUUAAUAAUGUUAUUAUCAGUAUUUUGAUAUAUAUAUAAGAGGAACUCGGCAACCUAUAUUCUCAACUGUUUAACAAAAACAUUGCCUAUUGGAAUUACAAUAGGUUAACCCUGCUCAAUGGUAAUCCAAAUAGCCGCAGUACCUUGACUGUGCAAAGGUAGCAUAAUCAAUUGGCUUAUAAUUGAAGUCUAGUAUGAAAGGGUCCUUGAGGAUUAACUGUCUUUAAUAUACAAAUAUAAUUUACUAAAUAAGUGAAAAUUCUUAUAUAAAUAAAAUAGACGAGAAGACCCUAGAAAUUUUUAAUAAAUUUUAGUAAAUCUUUUUUGUUGGGGCGACAUUGCAACAUUUAACUUGCAUAAAUUAAUUUGUCUUUAUUGAAUAGUGUAAUCAAAUUACUCUAGGGAUAACAGCAUAAUCUAAUAAAGUUUGUGACCUCGAUGUUGGACUAGGAAAACUGUUAUUCAGAAGAUAACUGUUUGUGCUCUGUUCGAGCAAUAUUCCCUACAUGAUCUGAGUUCAGACCGG